CCUGACCCUCCUCUCCAGGCAGUUAAUGCAAGUGCCAGAGGCUGCUGUGCUACAAGAGUGUUCCUCUUACAAGCAACAUGUGCUAGUUGGAGCAUUCAAGGGGUUGGACGAGCUGACGGAAUGACAAAGCUGGCCUCACAGUUUGAUGAGUGGGGGCAGUCUACCCCUGCCUUAGCCAGCUGGCAGCAAUCGCACUGACCAUACCAGUGUCUUCCUUUAAUUGUGAAAGGGACUUCUCUGCAAUGAAACGAAUCAAAACAGACUUGAGGAACAGACUGCAGGGAGAGCAUCUAGCCAACCUGCAUGUAGCUCUCCAUCAACGGCCCCCCCAUCAAGGAGCUCAAUUACAGGAGGGCGUUGGAAAUCUUUUUCCAAAAGCCCAGAAGAAUAAAGUGCUCUGACAAAGGCUGUAAACUAUGUCAGAACUAGGUUUUUGUCAGAACCUGGAAAGAGAUUUCCAACGCCCUCCUUUUGUGAUGAA